rnacentral:lncRNA from 1 species
CUUUAUUGUAAAUUCCAUACAGCCAGUUGAUUAUCACAAAUGUUUUCAUUGAUUUUUGCCACUGUCUUGGAUCUAUAGCCAACCAAUGGCUGCAAUUAAUAGUAAAAUAGUGUAGUUCUGACACAAAUGUUGAUUGCGAUUUUCAUUUACUUAAAGGAGUAAGCCAAAAGUGCCACAGGAAAUGUUGGAACAUCACUUGUCAAUGACAUUAGCAACUUCUUGCCUGAAUCAGAUUGACAGUUUUUGAAUACCAGAAGAAUAUUUCCUCAGUUUUUUUUGUGCUAUUUACAACGUUAACAGCUAUAAACAACCACUCACUUUUAAGUUUAAUUGGCAUCAUAAACAUUUUUUUUCUGCUACUUUCCCAGGUCUAGACAAUUAAAGAAAAAUGAUAAAUCAAGGCCUGAUUUGUAGUGUUUACUGAUUUCCAAUACUCCCACGACCCGAUGUUACUCCAUGUGGAGUUGGGAAGAGAUGCGUACCAUUAUAUAGUAUUUCUCCCUCACAUUAACGAUAGCUCUAAAUAACCUCAAGAGCACAGGCAAUAGUAAAAUAUAGUAAAGUCAUAGUAAAGAAGAUUGGUGUGUUUAUUACCUUUGUGUAUGUGUGUGCGUGUGUGUGUGGGGUACUGGGGAUUAAAUCCCGGGGUGCUUACCUGAGCCACAUCCCCAGCACUUAUUUAUUUUUUUAAAUUUUGAGACAGGAUCAAGUUGUUUAGAGUCUCACCAAGUCGCUGAGGCUGGCCUCAAAUUUGCAAUCCUCCUGCCUCAGCCUCCCAAAUUGCUUGGAUUAUAGGCAUGUGCCUGGCAUUACCUUUGUUUUAAUAUAAUGUGUUUAAUUGUAAGUUUAAUUUUAAUAAUGUCUGCAGUCAACAACCAGCUCACCAACAUUCCGAAAAUUUAACAAUGGGCUCAUCAUCCAGUAGGAACUGGCUCCAGUAUACCACUGCUUAUGCCCCUCUCCAAUCCAGCCCCACACCACUGCAAGCUCCAGACUACUGGUCAUCUAAUUCUAACCCUACUUAUCAAUACUGUGAGUUAUCGAACCUCAGAUAAAGAGAAUUCUACAGUACAAAUUCCUUUGUCAGUGAAAUAGUUUGCUUAGCAAAAUGUUGUGUGAUGAGCAGCUGUUUAUUUUGUUGUGGAAAAGAAUUCCAUUACAUGAAUACACCAAAGCUCUUUUGCUCAUUCACUGGUUGAUGGAUAUCUGCAUUAUUUCCAGAUUUGGCAAUUUCAAGUAAAGGUGUGGUGAACAUUUGUGUCAAGUCUUUGUGUAGCUAUAGCUUUAUUCCUCUUGGUUAAACACCCAGGAACUAAAUUGUGGGUCCUUUUAUAAGUACAUUUUUUAAGUUUAUAAGAAACUGUUAAAUGGUCUCCCAAAGUAGUUGCAUUAUUCAUUCCACAUCCCCACCAGCAGUUGAGGUGCUCUGAUUGGUUGACAUCCUCAAUGUUUUGAAUUGUCUGCCUUUUAAAAAUGUUUUUGGUUUGUUUGGUACCAGGGAUGCUUAACCACUGAGCCACAUCCCUAGCCCUUUUUAUGUUUUAUUUAGAGACAGGAUCUCACUAAGUUGCUUUGGGCCUUGCUAAGAUGCUGAAACGGGCUUUGAACUUGUGACCUUCUGCCUCAACCUCCCAAAUUGCUGGGAUUACAGGCGUGUACCACCAUGCCUGGCUUAAAAAUGUUAAUCAUUAGAGUAUGUAUCUUGUGCUUUUAAUGUGCAUUUUCCUAAUAAUUGAUGAUGCUGAGCACCUUUCAGGAACUUAUGUGCUACUUGUAUCUUUUUCAUACCAUAAAGUAUAUAAGUAGAAUAUCAUAAUGAAAAACUAGAAUAUCCUCAGAUGACCCAGGACACUGGGAAUAUGCCCAGACUUUUCUUCCUUUGUCCCAUAUUUUUUCUGAUAGGCUCAGAGUCUUAUUCCAGAAACAGCCUAGCAGAAGAGCCGCUAGCUCUUAGAUGGCAUUCUCUGGCCCCUGCCUGAGGUCAUUGACAUCCCUAUGUUUGAACAACUUAUCUGGUAGGAUCUUCCAGGAGAGAUGCUUCACAAUCAUUACCUGGAGCCCUUUCUGUCUGCCAUAGACAGAAUGCACACAUCCUUUGUUACACCUCCAGCACUCCGUGAAGGUUGUGCAGUGUGCCCAGGAUGCUGGGCUGAUGUUCUCAGAACUCAUCUGGAAGAUAUUGGAGAGAGGUAUCCCAGGAUAAGAACUAGAUAAGGCAUGGAAUAGCCAGGCAGUUUCCCUGAGCCCCAAUCUAGAGGAAGGGCUAAUAUGUCACUGAAAUAUAUCAGGAACAUGGCACCAGUUAACUCGGGUUUCUACACUCAACUUUUCUCAUAACUGGCAAAGUGUGAGUUGUUCCCAGAGUGGCGGGAAUUUACCUGGUGUCAUGAGAGCCUCCCAUUACAUCACCAGCCAGGCUGUCCCAGAGGGGACUCAACCAAAAGGCUUGAAGAAGCUUGAUAUUGCUGGGCUCAUGCCUAUAAUCCCAGCUACUCAGGAGGCUGAGGCAGAAGGAUUGCAUGUUUGAGUCCAGCUUAGGCAACUUAGUAAGAUCCUGACUCAAAUUUUUAAAAAAUUAAGGAAAGAGUCUGGAAUGUAAUUCAAUGAUAGAGCAAUCAAUUUUCUACCAUGGGCGAGGCUGGGGUUCAAUCCCUGGGAAAAAGCGGGCGGGGAGGGGUGAAGCAUGAAAAUCUUGAUAUGCUCAUUUCACUGAAUCUUUAAAUUUAGCGAUAAAGAAAAUUAGAAAAAAAGGAUCAAUUAAUGGGAGCUGACUGGAGUCAGCACAUACUUGUCCUAUUGGAAGAAGACAGAGGCUUGGAGUCUUGCUCACAAGGGUCCUGCUGAGUUGCCAUGACUUUUACCUCCAUGUUCAGGCAGGGGACUCAGGAACAAAAUGGUGUCACUAAUGGGGACCAAGAUAAGUAUGUCAGAGUUGUCAAUAUGGAGCGAACAUAUCUGAGCCUUGUGAAUAAGUAAGUGCUAUGGUUUUAAUGUUGAGGCUUAAUUCCUCCAGGUGGCAGUGUCAGGAGGUGUGAGGUCCUGGACUUACUGCCUUCAUGAACGAAGUCAUAUCUUUCUUAAGAGACUGGAUUAAGUCUCUCAAGAUGGGUUUGGGUCUUGGUGGGGACUAGAUAAGUUACCAUGAGAUUGGAUUGUUACAAAGCAAGUGUACCUGUGAUUUUUGACCUCUUUGCCACACUCCUACUUGCCACUCUAGCCUGUAUAUCCACCAUAUGAUGCCAUAUACCAUGUUCUGACACAGCAUGAGACCUUCUCCAGAUAUAGCCAUCUGAUCUUGGACUUCCUACCUUCCAGAAUGGUGUACUAGAUAAACUUUAUAACUGACCCAGUCUUAGGCAUUUUGUUAUAGCAACAGAAAAUGGUUAAAGACAGUAAAUCUGGGGCUGGAGUUGUGGCUCAAGUGGUAGAGCACUCAUAGCACAUGUGAGGCACUGAGUUUGAGCCUCAGCACCACACACAAAAAAUAAAGAUAUUGUGUCCACCUAAAACCAAAAAAUAAAAAAGAAAAGAAAAGACAGUAAAUCUUACCUGGUUGGUCCAUCCUUUUCUAUGUAAAGGCAGCAUUCUGGUUCUGUUCCAUCCUCUUCUUCUGUAUUUACUGCACAUGGGCCCCAUUUAUUCUUCUGACAUCUUUCACAGUCUACUCUGUACACCUUAUGAAUUUUCCUACCGCUCCAUUUCUCUUGUUCUAUACAUCAGUAUUUUCAAUAAUAAGCUGCAUCCCAUAAUAGUUCACUCCUACGGACUUUGUUACCUAACACAUCGUCCUGAUAAGCUUAAGACUCUCUGGAAGACUAAGUUAUUGUGUUUACAGUUCACAGCGGGAAUGUGGCAUCUUUAAAUAAUCCACACAUGAAACACAGGUCCAUUCAGUCCUAGAGCAAGACCUAUGUUUUGUGUCUCCGGGCAUGCAGCCACAGGGUUCCAACACUUUCAUUUCCACUGAUUUUGUGUUUUCAAGCCACAAUUCCUCUUUGGUGUCAGCUGACAUGCAUUGAAUUAUCUUCUGUGUUUUGCAUUGGAAGUAGUGUCCUUUAAUAGCGGCAUGAUUGGGCUCUUCUCCCUAACCUCUUACCAUGGUGAUACUCAUUCUGAACACAUAAGUCCUCUGCUCACAAAAUGCAGAUAAAGCUGUGUCUGCUCAGCAGGUCACUGGCUACCUGGGGUUACGCUGGGCAUCCUCACUCCAAAGCUCCUUGAUAAGAGCAAAUGUGCACAGGUCCAGACACCUGCUGCCUAUGUAGCUUACUUGCUCUCAGAUUUGUCCUCGUUAGCAGGGAAGACUGAUGCACUGAGUGAGUCAGGACAUGCAAAUGUUGUAUAACUCAAGAUCGUCCUUCAAACCACCUUCUAUCCUCUAUUUGAAAUGUGCUACCCUGCCCCAUCUCUUUCCCUCACUGCAAGCUCUGUUUUCCAUGGUUUUAACAAAGAAUGAUUCUAGCAUCUUAAUUCGGUCUCUGAGCCCUUCUGCUCUGUCACUUUUGGGAUAGGCUGCCUGGAAGUGAGGUGGGUGGCUGUCACUACAUCAGGUAAGUUCUGCUCCUGCAGUGGCAGGCAGAGAUGAGAAUAGAAACAUAAAAUUUUUUUUUCACGGACUGAUCCAAAGAAUGUCUUUGACAUUCAGUGCAAGCAGCACAGCCAGCUUGCAUAGGAAGGAAAGCGAGGACCUGGUCCCUGGCCAGGGGUCUGUGCAGGGCAGUUGCCCAGCCCACCGAGGACAGCCGGCCUGCCUGUGCUGAGCUGGCAUUCUGCUGGGUCCUGCCACUGCUUCACUGGAAACAAAUGAGUAAUCGAUAAGCUACAUUUUAACUACUGUAAUAGUCCUCUAAAGGAGUAAUGUGAUUUAGAAGUCGGCUUGAAAUUACUUCUAUAUUUUUACUUGAAAAGCAAAGAAUAUCAGUUUGGAGGGACACUUAGCAGCCAUGUCCAGGUACUUGUGUUCUUGAUCUGGUGUGACAUUUAGGGCCUUUGCUGUGAGUCACUUCUUGUAUUUCUUUCCAGGCCUCCACGGGGAGCAGGUGGGCUACUCAAUCCAACUCCCAAGGGUGGUAGGUCUGGUUCUUUCUCUCUACCUGAAGGCCCCUUCUCUUGUCCCCUUCUUAUGGCACAAAAGAGUUGAAUGCACACAAAAGAUUUCAUGCACUGGACAGAAAGCCCAGAGCAUGUCAGGCUAGAGACACCCCUUGGGGCGUUUGUGGCAAGAUCCUCUCCUCACUCCUCAGCUCUGCAUUGCCCCACAGCAGUACCUAACGGUGCCUGGCCUCAGCUGGGCGCAUGUGGGCAACUUCUUUGCCACACUUCAAGAGCCUGACAAGCGAAGGAAGAAGAGCGAAGCCCUGGUCCCUGGCCAGGGGUCUGUGCAGGGUCCUGGUUACUUCCUUCCAUUGCAGCUGCGCUCUGGGCAGGUGGGGAGAGGGGAGCUAGCGAGCGCCUCCCGGAUACCAGGUCACCACUACCGCUGGUGCCACUUACCUGGUUACAUGCCCAGCACUUACUUCCCCAUGCCAACCACUAGAGGAUUAAUUCUGCAAAAGAAGCAUUCGCAUAAUAGAAACCACAUGGGGUUUCCGCGGCCCCGACAGCUCAGCGGUUAACCGAAGCCGCUGCCUCGCCCAACGGUGGCUCCCGCGCGCUCCGCGCGGCGACUUUCAAGAAGGCAGGUGACGCGCUGUUUUCAACGAUCUGCUCCCCACUCUGGUAGUGGUCGCGCGAGUCUCAGCGGCUUGGUCAACACCCGCUCCCACAGCCGAAACUCCCAGUUCACCCAGUUCCCGAGUUUCGCUCCGAGCGUGCCAAACGGAUUGGGUGCUGGGCGCAGCAGUCGCAGUUCUCGGCCGCGACGGGCUCCGGGGGCCUGAUCGCACAGAAGCGUCGAAGGGGUUCCCUUUAACAUCAUAAACUUUCUGUUGCACCCUUGUUUCCAGGUUGCCUUCGAUGACAAGGACUCGUCUUGUUUUCCCUCUCC